CCGGAGACACACAAAGCCCGGAGCGGAGCGCUCCCUGCCUGAGGAGCCGGAGCCGCCGGAGUGCCUCCUGGGAAAUGGCGGGGGGAAUCCUUCGGGGGUGUUCCACCCUCUGAGUGGUGUCUUGUGAGACCUCAGCCCGGUACGGUCCCUCCAAGGCCACGCUUUUAGCUCCCAGAGCCAGCACAGGAGGGAGUCAUCACCACCCUGGGCACCCACACCUACCUCAAAAUGCACCACAUUGUGCCCCACGCUGCCACUUUUCCUUUCCAAACGCUCUUCUGGAUGGAAAGAGCACCUGGGUCCCCGGCCAUUCUCAUGCCCUGGAGGUGACAUGUCCCCUAAACUUCCCACCUAAACUUCAGCACCAGCCCUGCUGACCAGGGAGGAAAUUCCAGCUCAUCUCAACCCUAGCCACCAGACAAUCCAAAAUCUCUGCUCCUUUUCCCAAAGCCUCAGCAUCAGCCAUGCAGUUCGGUGAGGAAAUUUCAGUUCAGCUCAGUGGGGAUGUCCCAGUCCUGUCUCCAUGACACCCCAAACCAGGAAGGUGAACUGGUGCAGCAAGCUGUGCCAGCGGGAGGUGGGAUGCAGGAUCCCAGAUGGCAUCUGUCAGGGCUGAGCAUGGAGCAGGAACAUGCACGAAUCUGCAGGUCCUGCAGAGGGAGAGCAGCACCAACUCCAGCCAGCCAGCCAGGGUCUGCUGGAGAACACAAGACCCAAAUCUCUGGCAAAGGAGGUGAUGCCAAGAAGGCCAGAGGUUUGGGUGUCUCACCAGCUUUUGGGGCUGGGGAAAGUGGGAGGGAGGCAGGAGAUGUUUAAAUCAGGAAAAGAGGCAUGAGAAUUCUUAAAGCCCAAAAGAGAGAAGGAGGAGAAAUCUUUCCUUAUCCUGAUUAGAAACUGUUCUCACAGAGCACAGAGCCAAUGUUAGCAGGCUCCAAGACAACCUGUAUUAAUAAAACCAGGUCAGUUUUUACUGAAGUACUUUCAAGGAUUGGGUAAAAGAUUUUGUGGGCAUUUGGUGUUGAUGUUCAGCAAAUCUCAGACCAGGAAUGGUGCUUCCAAGGAUGGAAAAACCAGCGUCAGACAGGAACACAAGACAAACCAGGGAUGGAUCAGUGCAUCUUUCCUGGAAAAAUUGUGAUGCCACUAACACAGAAGGAAAAUAAAACCCCUGCCAGGCAAGGCAGUUCCAUUGGGAAUGAUCUCAGCACUGCUCCAAUGACGUUUUGCCACGACCACGAGCAGGGCCUGUGAUCCAGCCUGCCUGAGGUGAUGGGAUCCCACAGGAUCCUACAGACUAUGGAGGACGUGGAACCCUUAGGGAUGAAACCUGCAGGUUUCAUCAUACCUUCACUCUUCCAGCUCUGAGCUGUGAGUGACAAAGGACAGGGAGGUGACAAGGGAGCAGCCACUGUCAGAGGUGGAUGCAGGAGAUGGAUCUGGUUUAAUAUGGAAAUAAAUCAUGGCUCAUAUUAAAGUCUGGCUCAGGCAUCUGGGGAAGCAGUAUCUUGGGAUGGGGAUUUUAACAGGCACUAGGUGUGAUGGGAAGGUGGGAUUCUGUGGGAUCACAGAGUCGGUACAAGAUCCCACUCUGUCAUGGUCUUGUCUGAUGGUGCUGGGACCAUCAGACUGGGACAGGAGCAGGAGCUGCACCACCCAGAGCCAGCCUGGCACCUCCUCCCUGGGUGCUGACUUCCAGCCCUGUGUCCCGCCUCUCCCACACAGCCCACAAGGAAGGCCUCUCCUGCAUCCUUCUUCCCAAGCCACAGGACCCCGGGAUGACUCCCCAAGCCCCCCAUCCCUCUCCAGCUCUGCUCCUGUUGGCACCAUAGAUAUUCUCCAUCACUCCCAAGGGACAUCCAUCCAAUAGGAUCUCCAUGUAAGAAGUGUGCAGGGAAGUGUCUAAGAAUCCCAGCACAGCUGACUGGAACAUAGUGGUGGGACACAAGGGACAGAGCAAAUGGGGGAUGCAGCCAGAGGAGGAAGGAAGCAGGAGAAUCCAGUCACCCAUGGCCACAUUGAACAACAGCUCCCACACCACAACCUCUGUGCCAAUCACGGGCAGCUCAGAGCUGAAACACCCGCGAGGGUUUUCCCACUGAGGGAUAACGUGGGUGGGCGUUGGAUCAGCCCCAUCAUUUCCAGCACCUCAGAGAUCCCACAGGCAGCAAAUGGAGCCAGAAGACAACUCCCAGGGCAAACGGCAUGGGAUGAUUUCCAGUGUUGCAGCACAAAAGUUUUGCACCCUCCUCCUCCUCACGCAGAGGGCAGAGGGCUGGGACAACCUACACCCAGGGACUGUGCCAAGCAGUCGAGCUGGCAGCUCCCACCCCAUUCCUGGGAAAGAGGAGGAAAAGAGAUGCUGGGAGUGCUGGGGGAUCACUCUGUCCCCUCCAAAGCAGCGUGGGCUCAGGGUAAUGAGGAGGAGCUCUUAGACCGGGGCAAGGCAGAGCCUGGAGCACCACAUGAGGGGAUCACAGCCCAGUGCACAGCAGUGCAUGACGAGCAUGGACACGGUAAUGUGGGGAGAGGCUCUGUGAGAGGAACUGGAGAAAAAGGCAAAAUUCAGCUUAUUCCAAAGGUGUUCUACACACAGCUGCUGGGGGCCAGGUCUUGGGGAGAGGCUGCUGCUUUGGUACAAAUCAGCAGAAGAAUGUAAGGUUGGGCACUCAGCAGUGAUUCCAAAGGGCUGGAAGAGCACCUGUGAGCAGGCACAGAGCCCACCUCUAACCCCAAACCUCCCAUCCCCUCUUGGCAGGGGGUCUCUGGCUGUUGGGAGCCAUCCCCCUCAUCCCCUCACCUCUCACCCUUCUCCUCCAUGUGCCUGACCCCAUAGAGCAAAAACACCUCAAGGCACUUUUUGGAGAGGGAGAUCCUGCCAAAGCCAGGAUGGAGCCAAGCUGCCUGUUGCUGGAGAGCUCCCCACGCCCCAUCAUGCUGCUCCUGCGGGUGCCAGUGAUAGCUGAACCAUCUCCCACCCACCCUUGUCUGCAGCACGGGACCUCUCUGGAAGCACAGGGCUGUUGGGCCAGGUCUUGGUGAAAACAAAUCUCUUUUAAUAUUUUCAGAAUACAAGAGAGAAAGCAAUACCUAAACACAAUCUGAGAUCAGAGAUCCAUCUUGCACCUGCUUUCCAGAGCUGAAGACCAUCCUGGCUCCCUUCAGAGGCAGUUGGGUGCUUCAUGGGAACCAGUGCUGCUCACCCCACGGCUUUCUGCUUCAUUAACCCCUUCUUUGCUCCCUGAUGGAUCUUUGCAUCCAGCUUCCCUGUAAAGAGGGGAUUAAAGAAAAAAAGAAAAAAACACAACAAACCCUCAUCACUCUUUAUUUUUAAAUGCUAUUUGCAAUGCAAAUGAGCUGGAGGCAGCGAGGUCUCCUAGUUAGUGUGUUCCUGUCACAUCCAAUUAUCCUGCUUGAGGAGCCAGGCGUUUCCAGCCGCCUCGCCUCCCUCUGCAGGCGCGACACCGGGGAGCCAGGGGCAAGCGCGGCCGACGCGGCCAGGAGAUGCCAGACAGGGGGAAAUUCAGCGAGGAGAGGAGUGAAUUAACAUCCAGCACUCGCCUGCCACUACCAGGGGGGAAACUGAUCCCUGUGCCUGCCCGCAGGAUGCUCUGAGGAGAUGGGGAGCCAUCCAGCAAUGCGCCAGGGAUGUUUCUCCACGGUGCGGCAAAAGGCAGGACUGGGGACAACAAACCCUCAGCCUGGGAUGAUGGUGCAAUGGGUACCCAGUGUCAUGGGGACACCUGCUCCAUGUUCCUAUCUGCCAUGUUGGUGGUCUCCAAGGCCAUCUGCUGGCUUUGCCACCAGGGAAAACCUCAGUCAGCAGCUCCAGGGGGACCUGGAGAAAACACUGCCUUCUCCUUGUCCUUCACAACCCUUGGGGGCUUCACUGCCAGCUCUGCUUUCCCACCUGGGACAGGAGCAGGACACCAGAACAUGGGAUUUUGGACAACUCCUGCUGAAGAAGCCAGAAGCCAGGCAUAGUGAUGUGCUUCCUGAGAGGAGUGUCCUUGUCCUCUUCUUCCCGUCUGUAAAGAUGCAAGAAUGCCCCUCCUCUCCCAGCUUUCCAGCGAGGUUCUGCUAGCAGCCAACACUGGUCACCUUCUCUAAUGCCAUGUCUCCCCAGGACUUGCCUUCCUGCUGCUCCCCUGCAUCUUCCCAUCCUCUAAAUGGCAGCCUUGCCCCGUCUGUGCAGCUGGGAACAGAGAUAGGGCAAGAUACGCCAGGCUCCAAAGUUGUACUUUGGCCACUGCUCCAAAAUCUGCUGGUAAAUGUCCAUAUGCCAGAAGAAGCAGGUGCUUCUCCAGAGAAAACAGCUCCCAACAAGCCAAUGACCAUCACCUUCUCUUCAAACCAAGAAAACUUCCCAAUUCCAGUUCAACAAAGACAGUUUGCAGAUCACCACGCCACAGAUCCACAAACUGAAAUAUGGAUUGGAAGACGUUCUGGGAGAUCCUCCAUCCCCUUGGCCACCCCAGACAAGACUUUCCCCCACUGCCUAAGGAUGGGAAGAAGCCCUCUCCUUGCAAGUGCUGUUUCCAGUCAUUGGCACCCCAGCAGGCAGAGCCAGCCCAGCAGUGUGUCAGACCACCUUGUCCCCAUGUUAGGGGUGGUUUUGGCAGGAGAAAGGCAGCAAGUUCACAUUCCCUCCAUGUUCUGGUCCCCCAACACCACCUACUGUCACCAGGGCUGUUACUUUUCAUGUGCCUGCCUGCUUCUCCUGGACCCCAAAAACAUUGGGAAGCUCCUCUGCUCUUCCAGCUCUCAAACACCACACAGGUAACCUUUCACAAAAGGCUAAAAAUAAGGCAAAGCCCCAGGGUCCCUUGCUCUUUCUGCUCAAUGAUUCAAGGCCUCUUGUCUCACACCAUGUCCUCUGCUUUUCUUCACUCUUCCAGACACUGGUUGGUGGAGGGAGGUUUCUAAUUGAUGCUUCAGGGUAGCUUUGCCUGGAUUCAAGGAAAUCUCCCGUGAGAAAGGCCAGUGAGCUUUGUCCUUGUGCACUAAAACUACAGGGGGAUGUAUCUGGGGAGAGCUGUGCUCCCAGAUGCAACACUGUGCCCAUCCCUUCCACAAAAACAAUGACCCUGGCAGAAAAAAAUGAGCCAUGCUAGGGUUUUUUUCCCAUCCCCAGGCUGCUAGAAACAAUUUGCAACAGAGAAGCAUCCGGAUGUCACUGUGGUGAGGUCCAUGCUGUUAUCUGGCAAGGAAAACUGCCCUGGCUUGGCUUCCCAACAGGACAAACUGGCAUUUUGUCAUGGUUUGAGCCAGGUUUCAAGGAGACCAGGGCAGCCAGCAAGUCCAAGUGGGGAUGUGAGCUGGCACCUUCCCUCUGCUCAGCUUCCAGCUGGGAGAAUUAAGCUUCUGACUGCCUGGGAUGCAAUGCCAGCUUCUAUUAAAACAGCGCCUUGCACCGAUGAAAGGUCAAAGGCUUCCCUGCUCCUUCCUUAGGCUGUCAUAAAUAUCACCCAGACGGACCAUGUCCCUUCUGGGAGGUGAACACACAGCUCCACAGCCCCCUGUGCUGCUCCUGUGACAGCUCCUAUUGGGAUGGAGGGCAGGGAAGGCAGGGCCAGCAGUGGGAGUGGGAGCACAGGCAGCCGCCAGCACAGCCGGCUUCCUUCCAGGCUGUUAGACUGAUCCUUCUCCAAGCAGGAAAGUGUCACAACACAAAGGAGAUGAUGUGACAGAUGGGGAGGGGACUGGCAGCACCUGCACCCGGCAAGGCAGACACGCAGGAGCCACAGAGCAGCUUUGCCCUCUCCCACCCACGGCCAGACAGAGGCAGAGGUGGGAGAGAAGGAGCAUGAGAGCCCCGAGAGCAAAGGAAAGGUUAAAGCAAGAGAAAAAAAGGAUGCAGUGGCUGCACCAGCACACAAGGGCCAGCAGGCUAACCCACAGCCAAGAUUUGCAUCCUAAAUAACUCCUGCCUGCUCACUGGCACUCAGAAUAACCCAUCUAGGGGGAGGACCAUAAGAGAGAUUUGAGUGCUUGCAGGUGUCCAAGCACUGGUCAGCUUUGGCUGAAUACACCUCCCAGCUGCUGCUCAAAAAGGCAAGGAAGAAACUAAAUGGUUUUGCAGGACAUCCCAACAUCCAGCUGUGGCAGAAAGGUACUUCCCUGAGCAGAGAGGGAAAAAGACCCUCAAAGGCAACAAAAAUAACCUUCUGCUGUGUUUCAAAAAAGCCCUUAUUAACCAGUCCUGAGAAAUCCCAACACUCCUGAGCCCCAGGUACUAGCCCAAGGAUCCAUGUGGAAAGGAGGGAGAUCACCCAGUUGUCAGCUCUGCUGAAUAAACAGCCAAGACUC